GGGUUGUAAACUUCUUUUAUAUGGGAAUAAAACAGGGUAUGCAUACCCUCUUGUAUGUACCAUAUGAAUAAGGAUCGGCUAACUCCGUGCCAGCAGCCGCGGUAAUACGGAGGAUCCGAGCGUUAUCCGGAUUUAUUGGGUUUAAAGGGAGCGUAGGUGGAUUGUUAAGUCAGUUGUGAAAGUUUGCGGCUCAACCGUAAAAUUGCAGUUGAAACUGGCAGUCUUGAGUACAGUAGAGGUGGGCGGAAUUCGUGGUGUAGCGGUGAAAUGCUUAGAUAUCACGAAGAACUCCGAUUGCGAAGGCAGCUCACUAGACUGCAACUGACACUGAUGCUCGAAAGUGUGGGUAUCAAACAGGAUUAGAUACCCUGGUAGUCCACA
rnacentral:rRNA from 1 species